rnacentral:rRNA from 1 species
AUUGAACGCUGGCGGCAGGCCUAACACAUGCAAGUCGAACGAGUGGCGGACGGGGGAGUAAUGUCUGGGAAAGUGCCCGAUGGAGGGGGAUAACUACUGGAAACGGUAGCUAAUACGGCAUUCCAUGGGGUGUGCCCAUAGGGGAUGAGCUAGUAGGUGGGGUAACGGCUCACCUAGGCGACGAUCCCUAUGUGGUCUGAGAGGAUGACCCGCCACACUGGAAUUGUGACACGGUCCAGACGCCUACGGUGGGCAUCGUUGGUGAAUAUUGCACAAUUGGCGCAAGCCUGAUGCAGCCAUGCCGCGUGUAUGAAGAAGUCCUUCGGGUUGUAAAGUACUUUCAGCAAGGAGGCGUUACUCUCAGAAGAAGCAACGGCUAACUCCGUGCCAGCAGCCGCGGUAAUAC